UACAUGGGGUGCAAACGUUGCUCGGAAUUAUUGGGCGUAAAGCGCACGUAGGCGGUUCGUUAAGUCGGAUGUGAAAGCCCUCGGCUCAACUGAGGAAGUGCACCCGAAACUGGCGAGCUUGAGUACGAAAGAGGAUCGCGGAAUUCCCGGUGUAGAGGUGAAAUUCGUAGAUAUCGGGAGGAACACCGGUGGCGAAGGCGGCGAUCUGGGUCGAUACUGACGCUGAGGUGCGAAAGCGUGGGGGAGCGAACAGG
rnacentral:rRNA from 1 species